rnacentral:rRNA from 1 species
CCUACGGGUGGCAGCAGUGGGGAAUAUUGCACAAUGGGGGAAACCCUGAUGCAGCGACGCCGCGUGAGUGAAGAAGUAAUGCGUUAUGUAAAGCUCUAUCAGCAGGGAAGAAAAUGACGGUACCUGAGUAAGAAGCCACGGCUAACUACGUGCCAGCAGCCGCGGUAAUCAGUAGGGGGCAAGCGUUAUCCGGAUUUACUGGGGGUAAAGGGAGCGUAGACGGCAGUGCAAGUCGGGAGUGAAAGGCGGGGGCUCAAACCCCGGGAUGCUGUGGAAACUGUACGGCUGGAGUGCAGGAGAGGUAAGUGGAAUGCCUGGUGUAGCGGUGAAAUGCGUAGAUAUUAGGAGGAACACCAGUGGCGAAGGCGGCUUACUGGACUGUAACUGACGUUGAGGCUCGAAAGCGUGGGGAGCAAACAGGAUUAGAUACCCGAGUAGUC